AGGUGCGAUCAUACCAACACUAAUGCACCGGAUCCCAUCAGAACUCCACAGUUAAGCGUGCUUCUUGAAUAAUGCUUAAAGUAAUAAAAUUAUUAAGCAAUUC
rfam:Vigna angularis cultivar Jingnong 6 chromosome 1, whole genome shotgun sequence.